rnacentral:rRNA from 1 species
UACGUAGGGUGCGAGCGUUAAUCGGAAUUACUGGGCGUAAAGUGUGCGCAGGCGGCUCCGCAAGUCGAGUGUGAAAUCCCCGAGCUUAACUUGGGAAUUGCGCUCGAAACUACGGAGCUGGAGUGUGGCAGAGGAAGGUGGAAUUCCACGUGUAGCGGUGAAAUGCGUAGAUAUCUGGAGGAAUACCGGUGGCGAAGGCGGCAUCCUGGACCGGCAUUGACGCUGAUGAGCGAAAGCUAGGGGAGCAAACGGG